ensembl:lncRNA
GUGAGGUGAAACACAAAACCCAGAACCUUGACAGCCCUUCCAUUCCUUGAUCUGAGGAAUAGGAGAAGAUCCGUCUAGCUGCAGGAUUCACGACUUGAGAAUGAGCAGAUUAAUCAUCAGCCCCUUCCGUUCAGAGUAGCCUUAGAGACGGGCACGUUUCUAGAAAGACCUGUUCCAAGCAUUCCGCAUAAAUGACUCGAGUGAGCUCCCCUAAUAGGAACUUGCGAAAUACAGCCUCGUAGCCGCCUGCUACACACAUGCAGUAACAGUACCAGUUUAGAGCGGAUUUGCUGCAAAUUGCUGAACAGUUUAAUCACAGUUUGUGAUACAGGACGGCGUGCAAAUGAUCUUCCUGGGAAAUCUCAUCCAGUUCAUCAGUGCAACUUAUUUUGUCAUUGGAAACCACAUGAUAUCGGAACCCGGGACAUUGCUCAGGUGCUGUGGACAGGAGGCCUAUAAUGUGGACCGGCAGUUGUGCUGUGGACGUCUGCGCAGUGAGAAGAUCCUUAAGAAGGAACACAAGGACAGCGUUUGCUGUGGAGACGUCCAGUACAACCCACAGACACAGCGCUGCUGCGGAGAUCCUCCUGAAAUAAAUGAACUCUCAGUUUCCUGUGAGACGGACUGUAAACAGGUUUUGACCCAAGAGCCCACAGCAAACAACAGGAUGUCGGGACCCCGGACAUUGUCCAAGUGCUGUGGACAGGAGGCCUAUAAUGUGGACCGGCAGUUGUGCUGUGGAAGUCUGCGCAAUGUGACGAUCCUUAUAAAGGAACAGAAGGGCAGCAUUUGCUGUGGAGACGUCCAGUACAACCCAGAGAAACAGGGCUGCUGUGGAGAUCCUCCUAAAAUAAAGGAACCCUCAGUUCCCUAUGAAACAGACUCAGAACAGGGUUUGACCCAAGAGCCCACAGUAAACAACAUGAUCCCGACACCCGGGACAUUGUCGAAGUGCUGUGGACUGGAGGCCUAUAAUGUGUACCGGCAGUUGUGCUGUGGAAGUCUGAGCAGUCAGAAGAUCCUUAUGAAGGAACACAAGGACAGCGUCUGCUGUGGAGACGUCCAGUACAACCCACAGAAACAGUGCUGUUGCGGGGAUCCUCCUAAAAUAAAUGAACUCUCAGUUUCCUAUGAGACCCAAGGGCCCACAGCAAACCACAUGGUGUCGGAACCCGGAACAUUGUCUAAGUACUGUGGACAGGAGGCCUAUAAUGAGGACCGGCAGUUGUGCUGUGGAAGUCUGCACAAUGCGAAGAUCCUUAUGAAGGAACAGAAGGAAAGCCUUUGCUGUGGAGACGUCCAGUACAACCCAGAGACACAGGGCUGCUGUGGAGAUCCUCCUGAAAUAAAAGACCUCUUAGAUUAACUGUGAGACGGACUGAAAACAGGGUUCGACCCGUCUCCUUCAACCCACUGCUCUUUUGAACAUAGCACCUUUUCAAUCAAGGAAAAAAAUAUUUGCUUUGACUAGCACUAUCUAACUGUUUGUAAUUGUGUCAAACUUGAAGAUCCUUUAUUUCCUUGAAAAAGAUUGCUUAUUUUGUCUUAUCUAAGUUGUUAAUUUUCUCUGCAAACGGGAAAUAUUUUUGAAUGUAGAACAGUGCAAAUGUAGAAGCGAAUAUGCCCAAAUAUACCUGCCCCUUUACAUUUGUCCAUGUUAUGAUUAUUACUUUUAUCCUGCAAGUUUAGCUCAGGAACAAUACUAUACAAUGGUGUAUUCCCUUUUUGCUAGUUAAAGCACAAUGAAAUGGUUAAUUCUAGGGAUGGGCGUGAGGAAUCGAUUACACGAGUACUCGUUACUCGGGACAAGCAAACUCGAGUUUGCAUACACACACAGACAACUUUUCUGAAGCAAAUGCAGUGUUUCCCCU